UUGAAGAGCACGGAAGCUGAUAGGAGAGCGAUAAGAGGGAGAGUAAGUAGAGCAAAGUGAAGGGGAUCCGGCUAUGGAAGCUCGUGAUUUUGGGAGUUGAGACCUCCCUUUCUGCUAUGCCUUUCUGCUUUCUUUGUUUUUUAAUGAACGAGGUGAACCAUGCGCGGAACCGUGAGAUGGCAAGUGGGACGGGGAGAGAGUCAGGCCAAGGAGAGUUUAGGGCUUCUUGCCAAUUCUAGGCGGUUCUCCGUGAUCUCAUCUAGCGGUUCUUUGGAGUAUAUGUUGUUCGAGUAGCUCUUAAUUUGCAGAUCUUGCCAUGCACGAAUUCUUCCAAUGAUUUUUCUCGUGUAAAAUCAACUUGAAUCCAAGUUCUACUUAUGAAAAUGGAUUAUUAACCUCUCGUCAA